AUGCUUUUCAGUUAUUGUUAAUUUAGCUGGCGCGUCAAGAGUUUGCAAGUUAUAAAUAUAUUUUGUUUAUGCUUAGGACUACCAGUACUCAUCCGGGUGACCAUUUGGACUUAAUUAAGAAGCCAUUAAUUAAUCAGCAACGCAGCAUUUGCUCCAGUGAAAGUGAAAGAAUUUUAAUGUUUACUUAUCUAAAAUACAGGAUAAAACGUGCAGGACUACUACUUAACUAAUGAAAUGAAGAGACUUCCAGUUAUCGUCGCUAUAUGUUAAAUAAAUAAAUUUAAAAAAAUUGCAAAUCAACUGAUUUACCAAUCUCCAAUUUUCAUAAGUGCGCCCGUUCAUAAGCUUCGCCCUGAAUGGAAAGCAUCAGGAACAAAUACGACAACAGCGAGUUAUCCGCUCAAAACGCCUUCUAAACAAAAUUAAACACCCCGAAGCGCCUGAGAACACCGAAUUUAAGACCGCGUAGCUCCCCACACCUUCGUCACCUGGAUUACUACAAACGGGGCUUAGUUGAGCCUGAAACCACUAAGCAUUGUUAUUGCAUCAUUUCUUCUCUGAAGGCUGCAAUUAAUACCGUUAUGGUCAAUGUGAAUAAGGAGCAUUUGAUUCGGGCAAACAAUCGUUUCCGGACCCGAAUCGAAGUUAUUGCAGCUAAUAGAAAUUUUAUU